UACGUAGGGUGCAAGCGUUGUCCGGAAUUAUUGGGCGUAAAGAGCUCGUAGGUGGCCUGUCGCGUCGGCUGUGAAAACUCGGAGCUCAACUCCGAGCUUGCAGUCGAUACGGGCAGGCUAGAGUUCGGCAGGGGAGACUGGAAUUCCUGGUGUAGCGGUGAAAUGCGCAGAUAUCAGGAGGAACACCGGUGGCGAAGGCGGGUCUCUGGGCCGAUACUGACACUGAGGGGCGAAAGCGUGGGGAGCGAACAGG
rnacentral:rRNA from 1 species